rnacentral:rRNA from 1 species
GUGGGGAAUAUUGGACAAUGGGCGAAAGCCCGAUCCAGCCAUGCCGCGUGUGUGAAGAAGGUCUUCGGAUUGUAAAGCACUUUAAGUUGGGAGGAAGGGCAGUAAGUUAAUACCUUGCUGUUUUGACGUUACCGACAGAAUAAGCACCGGCUAACUUCGUGCCAGCAGCCGCGGUAAUACGAAGGGUGCAAGCGUUAAUCGGAAUUACUGGGCGUAAAGCGCGCGUAGGUGGUUCGUUAAGUUGGAUGUGAAAGCCCCGGGCUCAACCUGGGAACUGCAUCCAAAACUGGCGAGCUAGAGUACGGUAGAGGGUGGUGGAAUUUCCUGUGUAGCGGUGAAAUGCGUAGAUAUAGGAAGGAACACCAGUGGCGAAGGCGACCACCUGGACUGAUACUGACACUGAGGCGCGAAAGCGUGGGGAGCAAACAGGAUUAGAUACCCUGGUAGUCC